CGGGGCUUAAAGUCUUGUAAUUGGAAUGAUGGGAAUUUAAACCUCUUCCAGAGUAUCAAUUGGAGGGCAAGUCUGGUGCCAGCAGCCGCGGUAAUUCCAGCUCCAAUAGCGUAUAUUAAAAUUGUUGCAGUUAAAAAGCUCGUAGUUGAAUUUCUGCUGCAUUGCUUGUGUCCCUCUGGGGUAUGUGCAUGUGGCUUUUUUCGGACGGAGUUUCUUUGUCUGAAUGUUUACUUUGAGAAAAUUAGAGUGCUCAAAGCAGGCUUUCGCCUUGAAUAGUUUAGCAUGGAAUAAUAAAGUAGGACUUUGGUUCUAUUUUGUUGGUUUUAGGUACCAAAGUAAUGGUUAAUAGGAACAGUUGGGGGCAUUCGUAUUUAACUGUCAGAGGUGAAAUUCUUAGAUUUGUUAAAGACGAACUACUGCGAAAGCAUUUGCCAAGGAUGUUUUCAUUAAUCAAGAAC
rnacentral:rRNA from 1 species